UCGAAAAAAAUGCUGGUAGCAACCUUCAUGACAACCCUGGGAACAGUCUUUUCUAAGGUCCUUUACGGAGAGACAGAGGGGCAGGAGGAGGGCGCUGUAGAAGCUAAGGGAAGUUAAUCACUCAUAAACAGCAACCUAAGUGGAAAAGCAGAAACUCAGCAUGGAUAAAUAUCAUACAGAGAGUUAAUGGAGUUAGCCUGAUUUUACCAGUUACUCCUGCCCCUGGAACUCAAUUGUUUUAUCUGUAAAAUGACAGCAUUGGAUGGUGGCCUUUGAGAUCUCUUCUAGAUAAUGAUCCUAUGAUCUUUACAAGUUGGGCGCUCAAAUGAGGUCUGAGCAAUGAAUCAUCCCCUUGAUCAGGCUUGGAGAGG